UGGGUAUGGUGUUGCAUGCCUGUAAUCCCAGCAUUUUGGGAGGCCAAGGCUGUUGGAUCACUUUAGGCUAGCAGUUUGAGACCAGCCUGGCCAACAUAGCAA